UACGAAGGGGGGCUAGCGUUGCUCGGAAUCACUGGGCGUAAAGCGCACGUAGGCGGAUCUUUAAGUCAGGGGUGAAAUCCCAAGGCUCAACCUUGGAACUGCCUUUGAUACUGAGGAUCUCGAGUCCGGAAGAGGUUGGUGGAACUGCGAGUGUAGAGGUGAAAUUCGUAGAUAUUCGCAAGAACACCAGUGGCGAAGGCGGCCAACUGGUCCGGAACUGACGCUGAGGUGCGAAAGCGUGGGGAGCGAACAGG
rnacentral:rRNA from 1 species